rnacentral:rRNA from 1 species
AACGUAGGAGACAAACGUUAUCCGGAGUUACUGGGCGUAAAGGGCGUGUAGGUGGUUUUGUAAGUCUGGCGUGAAAUUUUUCGGCUUAACCGGGAAAGGUCGUCGGAUACUGCAGGACUAGAGGACGGUAGAGGCGUGUGGAAUUCCUGGUGUAGCGGUGAAAUGCGUAGAUAUCAAGAGGAACACCUGAGGCGAAGGCGGGUUGCUAGGCUGACACUGACGCUGAGGCGCGAAAGCUAGGGUAGCAAACGGG